UACGUAGGGUGCGAGCGUUGUCCGGAAUUAUUGGGCGUAAAGAGCUUGUAGGCGGUUUGUCGCGUCUGCUGUGAAAAUCCGGGGCUCAACCCCGGACUUGCAGUGGGUACGGGCAGACUAGAGUUCGGCAGGGGAGACUGGAAUUCCUGGUGUAGCGGUGAAAUGCGCAGAUAUCAGGAGGAACACCGGUGGCGAAGGCGGGUCUCUGGGCCGAUACUGACGCUGAGGAGCGAAAGCGUGGGGAGCGAACAGG
rnacentral:rRNA from 1 species